CCUACGGGUGGCUGCAGUGGGGAAUAUUGGACAAUGGGCGCAAGCCUGAUCCAGCAAUGCCGCGUGUGUGAAGAAGGCCUGCGGGUUGUAAAGCACUUUAAGCAGGAAAGAAGGGGUGAAAGUUAAUACCUUUCAUCAUUGACGUUACCUGCAGAAUAAGCACCGGCUAACUCCGUGCCAGCAGCCGCGGUAAUACGGCGGGUGCGAGCGGGAAUCGAAAUGACUGGGCGUAAAUCGAUCGUUGGCGGGUGAAAGCCCUGGGCUUAACCUGGGAACUGCGGUGGAUACUGUCGGGCUAGAGUGUGGUAGAGGGGAGUGGAAUUUCCGGUGUAGCAGUGAAAUGCGUAGAGAUCGGAAGGAACACCAGUGGCGAAGGCGGCUCCCUGGACUAACACUGACGCUGAGGUGCGAAAGCGUGGGGAGCAAACAGGAUUAGAUACCCCAGUAGUC
rnacentral:rRNA from 1 species